CCACAAUUCUUGAACUCAUCCAUGAAAAUCCACAGUCACAUAUUAAAUUUCUCUAUAUGUGACUGGAUUUUCAUGGAUGAGUCCAAGAAUUGU
rnacentral:pre_miRNA from 1 species